UACGUAGGGUGCAAGCGUUGCCCCGGAUUUAUUGGGCGUAAAGGGCGCGUAGGCGGCUCUGCACGUUCGUUGUGAAAUCGCCCGGCUCAACUGGGCGGGUCAGCGGAUACGGCAGAGCUUGAGCAAGCUAGGGGCAAUGGAAUUCCCGGUGUAGUGGUGGAAUGCGUAGAUAUCGGGAGGAACACCAGUGGCGAAGGCGGUUGCCUGGGGCUUGCUGACGCUGAUGCGCGAAAGCGUGGGGAGCGAGUCCGGCG
rnacentral:rRNA from 1 species